rnacentral:tRNA from 1 species
CGGGACGUAGCUCAGCUUGGUAGAGCGCUAUCUUGGGGUGGUAGAGGUCGCAGGUUCAAAUCCUGUCGUUCCGACCA